UCCUGGCUUAGGAUGAACGCUAGCGACAGGCUUAACACAUGCAAGUCGAGGGGCAGCAUAAAAGUAGCAAUACUUGGUGGCGACCGGCGCACGGGUGAGUAACGCGUAUGCAACCUACCUAUCAGAGGGGAAUAACCCGGCGAAAGUCGGACUAAUACCGCAUAAAACAGGGGCACCGCAUGGUGAUAUUUGUUAAAGAAAUUCGCUGAUAGAUGGGCAUGCGUUCCAUUAGGUAGUUGGUGAGGUAACGGCUCACCAAGCCGACGAUGGAUAGGGGAACUGAGAGGUUGGUCCCCCACACUGGUACUGAGACACGGACCAGACUCCUACGGGAGGCAGCAGUGAGGAAUAUUGGUCAAUGGGCGGGAGCCUGAACCAGCCAAGUCGCGUGAAGGAAGAAGGAUCUAUGGUUCGUAAACUUCUUUUGCAGGGGAAUAAAGUGCAGGACGUGUCCUGUUUUGUAUGUACCCUGAGAAUAAGGAUCGGCUAACUCCGUGCCAGCCGCGGC
rnacentral:rRNA from 1 species